AUGCAGGUGCUGUGAACUGGCUCUGAUAGCCACCUGAGGCUUAAAUGGGCUCUUGCUCCACAAAACAGGCUGGUUGGGUUGGUUCUUCUGAGUUUCUGUUUCCUGGGCUGAGGACUUCUUAUCUGGAUUUGCUGAGAGGCUCAGCUUUCAUGCUUUGUUUCACAGCCCGUGGGUGACCGGAUCUCAACCUGGCACUGGCCACAAACAGCCCUGGCACUCCUGGAAAAUCACGGAGAAUAUCCAGCACCAGAUGUGCAAUUAUUUCCAUCUGCUGGCUCUUGAACCAAAUCCAGACUUGUCUGAAGAUUAUAGCUGCCAAGGAAGGAUGCCCACUCACUCCCUUCCCCUGAAAGGUGGAGCCUUACUUGGUCGAGUGCUGACAC